rnacentral:rRNA from 1 species
UAACGCGUGGAUAACCUGCCUCACACAGGGGAUAACAGUUAGAAAUGACUGCUAAUACCGCAUAAGCGCACGGCAUCGCAUGAUGCAGUGUGAAAAACUCCGGUGGUGUGAGAUGGAUCCGCGUCUGAUUAGGUAGUUGGUGGGGUAACGGCCCACCAAGCCGACGAUCAGUAGCCGACCUGAGAGGGUGACCGGCCACAUUAGGACUGAGACACGGCCCAA